AACGAACGCUGGCGGCAUGCCUAACACAUGCAAGUCGAACGAGACCUUCGGGUCUAGUGGCGCACGGGUGCGUAACGCGUGGGAACCUGCCCUUAGGUUCGGAAUAACUCCCCGAAAGGGGUGCUAAUACCGGAUAAUGUCUUCGGACCAAAGAUUUAUCGCCUUUGGAUGGGCCCGCGUUGGAUUAGCUAGUUGGUAGGGUAAAAGCCUACCAAGGCGACGAUCCAUAGCUGGUCUGAGAGGAUGACCAGCCACACUGGGACUGAGACACGGCCCAGACUCCUACGGGAGGCAGCAGUGGGGAAUAUUGGACAAUGGGCGAAAGCCUGAUCCAGCAAUGCCGCGUGAGUGAUGAGGGCCUUAGGGUUGUAAAGCUCUUUUACCCGGGAUGAUAAUGACAGUACCGGGAGAAUAAGCUCCGGCUAACUCCGUG
rnacentral:rRNA from 1 species